AACGUAGGUGGCGAGCGUUAUCCGGAUUCAUUGGGCGUAAAGAGCUUGUAGGUGGCGGCGUAAGUUGGACGUGAAAUCGCCCGGCUCAACCGGGCGGGGUCGUUCAAUACUGCGCGGCUGGAGGAGGUCAGAGGGAAGUGGAAUUCCUGGUGUAGCAGUGAAAUGCGUAGAUAUCAGGAGGAACACCCGUGGCGAAGGCGGCUUCCUGGGGCCAUCCUGACACUGAGAAGCGAAAGCUAGGGGAGCGAACGGGAUUAGAAACCCCGGUAGUCCUAGCCGUAAACGAUGGACGCUAGGUGUGCGCAGAUCUAACCCUGCGCGUGCCGAAGCUAACGCGUUAAGCGUCCCGCCUGGGAACUACGAGCGCAAGCUUAAA
rnacentral:rRNA from 1 species